rnacentral:lncRNA from 1 species
AGGCGGGGGGCUGACCCCCCCACCUCCCUCCCGGACGGGGUGGCUGGCCUGGCGGGGGGCUGACCCCCCCACCUCCCUCCCGGACGGGGCGGCUGGCCGGGCAGAGGGGCUCCUCACAUCCCAGACGAUGGGCAGCCAGGCAGAGACACUCCUCACUUCCCAGACGGGGUGGCGGCCGGGCAGAGGCUGCAAUCUCCGCACUUUGGGGGGGCCAAGGCAGGCGGCUGGGAGGUGGAGGCCAUAGCGAGCCGAGAUCACGCCACUGCACUCCAGCCUGGGCACCAUUGAGCACUGAGUGAAUGAGACUCCGUCUGCAAUCCCGGCACCUCGGGAGGCCGAGGCUGGCGGAUCACUCGCGGCUAGGAGCUGGAGACCAGUCCGGCCAACACAGCGAAACCCCGUCCCCACCAAAAAAACACGAAAACCAGUC